UGAUCAGAAACUCAGAAGGCCAACGUCAGAAAAUCCUUCAGAUGGGUGAACCCUCGAAAAGCGCCUGGACCUAAUGGUAUACCCAGUCGUGUUCUAAAUACCUGUGCGGAUGAACUGGCUGGAGUUUUUACGGACAUUUUCAACCUCUCACUUCUGAGGUCUGAGGUUCCCACCUGCUUUAAAAGGGCAUCAAUUAUACCAGUGCCCAAGAAG